rnacentral:rRNA from 1 species
AGAGUUUGAUCCUGGCUCAGAACGAACGUUGGCGGCGUGGAUUAGGCAUGCAAGUCGAACGGGGUUGGAGCAAUCCAACCUAGUGGCGAACGGGUGAGUAGCGCGUGGGAAACCUGCCCUCGAGAUGGGGAUAACACUUCCAACGAGGUGCUAAUACCGGAUAAGACCACAGGGUCGCAUGGCCUGGUGGUUAAAGAUGGCCUCUGCUUGCAAGCUAUCACUCGAGGAUGGUCCCGCGUCCCAUUAGCUUGUUGGUAGGGUAACGGCCUACCAAGGCGACGAUGGGUAGCUGGUCUGAGAGGAUGGUCAGCCACACUGGGACUGAGAUACGGCCCAGACUCCUACGGGAGGCAGCAGUGGGGAAUAUUGGACAAUGGGCGAAAGCCUGAUCCAGCCAUGCCGCGUGUGUGAAGAAGGUCUUCGGAUUGUAAAGCACUUUAAGUUGGGAGGAAGGGCAGUAAGUUAAUACCUUGCUGUUUUGACGUUACCGACAGAAUAAGCACCGGCUAACUUCGUGCCAGCAGCCGCGGUAAUACGAAGGGUGCAAGCGUUAAUCGGAAUUACUGGGCGUAAAGCGCGCGUAGGUGGUUCAGCAAGUUGGAUGUGAAAGCCCCGGGCUCAACCUGGGAACUGCAUCCAAAACUACUGAGCUAGAGUACGGUAGAGGGUGGUGGAAUUUCCUGUGUAGCGGUGAAAUGCGUAGAGAUCUGAAGGAACACCAGUGGCGAAGGCGACUUACUGGCUUAAAACUGACGCUGAGGUACGAAAGCGUGGGUAGCAAACAGGAUUAGAUACCCUGGUAGUCC